AACUGGAUUAAUGGGAGGUCAUUCAAUCUAGCUUCCUCUAUGAGUAUAUUAAAAAUCUUUUGGAAUGACACAGAAUCUGCACACAGCCAUGGGAACCUUCACAUAUCCUAUCUUGAACAGAGUUUCAGGAAGAUUGUUUUAAGCAUUUAGGGAGCUGAGAGGAGAAAUCUUUUAUAGAGAGGAGAGAAGGUAAUCCUACAUAUAUGUUCAAGGAGAGGGAAUAAGGAUGUAGGCACACACAUACACAUACAUAAGACUAGAGGGGGAAUGAGGAAAUAUUCAUAUCCAUAGCAACAGAGAGAAUGAUGGAUGAGGUGGAUGGGGCAAUAGAAAAACUAAAGAUAAUAAAGGAGGGGAUAGAAUGAAUAUCUGAAAAUUCCUGGCCUGGAAUGAAGUGAAAGGAAGGCAGAACAUAUCUUGUGGUUUCUUUAUUAAAGGUUCUCAUCAAUGGGAGAUAUGAAAUAUUUCAUUUCAACAUAAGUAUCCUCUGGAUCAGAAUCUAGAGACAGGAAUGAAGAGAUUAUGUUGCUAUAUAAAUGAAAUGGGCCUGCUCUUUGUGUAUAUAGGCUUAUACAGCCAAUCACUGAGGGCUCUUGAGCACAAAGUGAAGGGAAAAAUGCAGAGAAAGCCUUGCCAGGAAUAGUGUGAGGACACAUAGACUCCAUUACAUCAUAGUAUGCUGACUAGGAGGGGUAAUAAAAGGGAGAGUUGGGCAAACAUAUUGAAACAGUCAGUCCAGGGUCUCUGGUAAUCUGUCAAGGUCCUGUGGUCAUCUCUCUCCUUGAUAGUCUCACUAGACAGCAGAAAGCUGGGAAUGCUUGUCUGAGAAGCCAGAGAAACCAGGACUUGCCUAAGAACAUCCUGAGAAGCACUUAUCAGGAAAGUGGUCACGAAACACAAGCCACAGACUGCUGAAUCCAGUGCAAAGAAGGGAAAAGAUCCCUGUUGCUCCCACCAGAACCAUAGCUUUCCAUUCUGAGGCUGAAGAGGGAAAGAUGAGGCCAGAAGCACCAGCCCAGUCCAAUUUGUCAGGACAAAUGGGAACAGGAAUAUAUGAGGACGAUUUCCCGAGGAGGGUUACAAGCAUGUUAUCAACAACCCCAAACUCACUCCAGAAAUUACUGUAGUAAAUAAAAUUCUUAAGGGAAAACCCA
rnacentral:lncRNA from 1 species